rnacentral:rRNA from 1 species
UGAGGAAUAUUGGGCAAUGCCCGCAAGGGUGACCCAGCAACGCCGCGUGGAGGAUGAAGGCCGUAAGGUCGUAAACUCCUGUGAGAAGGGAUGAAAACUCAGAAUUCGUAAGGGUUCUGAUUUGACCGUACCUUCAGAGGAAACCCCGGCUAACUACGUGCCAGCAGCCGCGGUAAUACGUAGGGGGUUAGCGUUGUCCGGAUUUACUGGGUGUAAAGGGCGCGUAGGCGGGUCUGUAAGUCAGAGGUGAAAUCCCACAGCUUAACUGUGGAGCUGCCUUUGAUACUGCGGAUCUUGAGUUCAGAAGAGAGAGAUGGAAUUCCAGGUGUAGUGGUGAAAUACGUAGAUAUCUGGAAGAACACCAGUGGCGAAGGCGAUCUCUUGGUCUGUAACUGACGCUGAGGCGCGAAAGCGUGGGUAGCAAACA